rnacentral:rRNA from 1 species
UACGUAGGGGGCGAGCGUUGUCCGGAUUUAUUGGGCGUAAAGAGCGUGUAGGCGGCCAGGUAGGUCUGCUGUGAAAACUCGAGGCUCAACCUCGAGAUGUCGGCGGAAACCAUCUGGCUAGAGUCCGGAAGAGGAGAGUGGAGUUCCUGGUGUAGCGGUGAAAUGCGCAGAUAUCAGGAAGAACACCCGUGGCGAAGGCGGCUCUCUGGGACGGUACUGACGCUGAGACGCGAAAGCGUGGGGAGCGAACAGG